rnacentral:rRNA from 1 species
GCUUAUCUGAAGUAGAGUCCGGUGACAAUGGCAAAGAGGUCACACCCGUUCCCAUGCCGAACACGGCCGUUAAGCUCUUUUGCGCCGAUGGUAGUUGGAGGCUUCCUCCCGCGAGAGUAGGACGUUGCCGGGC